rnacentral:snoRNA from 1 species
GCACUACAGCAAACCAUUUCCUGCUCCGUCACAGCUGGAAGUGGGUUAAAACUGUGCAAUAAUAACUCAUAGUGUAUCCAGACAGUAUCCUCAUCUGUUGGAACUUGUCCCUACAAACUAUGAUACAUGA